GCAUAUCAAUAAGCGGAGGAAAAGAAACCAACCGGGAUUGCCUCAGUAACGGCGAGUGAAGCGGCAAGAGCUCAAAUUUGAAAGCUGGCCCCUCCGGGGUCCGCAUUGUAAUUUGCAGAGGAUGCUUCGGGCUCAGCCCCCGUCUAAGUGCCCUGGAACGGGCCGUCGGAGAGGGUGAGAAUCCCGUCUGGGACGGGGUGCCUGGGUCCAUGUGAAGCUCCUUCGACGAGUCGAGUUGUUUGGGAAUGCAGCUCUAAAUGGGUGGUAAAUUUCAUCUAAAGCUAAAUACUGGCCGGAGACCGAUAGCGCACAAGUAGAGUGAUCGAAAGAUGAAAAGCACUUUGAAAAGAGAGUUAAACAGCACGUGAAAUUGUUGAAAGGGAAGCGCUUGCGAUCAGACUCGCCUGCGGGGUUCAGCCGGCAUUCGUGCCGGUGUACUUCCCCGUGGGCGGGCCAGCGUCGGUUCGGGUGGCCGGUCAAAGGCCCCGGGAAUGUGUCGCCCUCCGGGGCGUCUUAUAGCCCGGGGUGCCAUGCGGCCUACCUGGACCGAGGAACGCGCUUCGGCUCGGACGCUGGCGUAAUGGUCGUAAGCGACCCGUCUUGAAACACGGACCAAGGAGUCUAACAUCUACGCGAGUGUUUGGGUGGCAAACCCAUACGCGCAGUGAAAGCGAACGGAGGUGGGAACCCUUCGGGGCGCACCAUCGACCGAUCCUGAUGUCUUCGGAUGGAUUUGAGUAAGAGCGUAGCUGUGGGGACCCGAAAGAUGGUGAACUAUGCCUGAAUAGGGCGAAGCCAGAGGAAACUCUGGUGGAGGCUCGCAGCGGUUCUGACGUGCAAAUCGAUCGUCAAAUUUGGGUAUAGGGGCGAAAGACUAAUCGAACCAUCUGGUAGCUGGUUCCUGCCGA
rnacentral:rRNA from 2 species